UUGAACGCUGGCGGAAUGCUUUACACAUGCAAGUCGGGCGGCAGCGCGGGGACAACCCUGGCGGCGAGCGGCGAACGGGUGAGUAACAUAUCGGAACGUACCCAGACGUGGGGGACAACUAGUCGAAAGACUAGCUAAUACCGCAUACGUCCUGAGGGAGAAAGCGGGGGAUCGCAAGACCUCGCGCGUUUGGAGCGGCCGAUAUCUGAUUAGCUAGAUGGUGGGGUAAAGGCCCACCAUGGCGACGAUCAGUAGCUGGUCUGAGAGGAUGAUCAGCCACACUGGAACUGAGACACGGUCCAGACUCCUACGGGAGGCAGCAGUGGGGAAUUUUGGGCAAUGGGGGAAACCCUGAUCCAGCCAUUCCGCGUGAGUGAAGAAGGCCUUCGGGUUGUAAAGCUCUUUCGGCAGGAACGAAACGGCGGAAUCUAAUACAUUCCACUAAUGACGGUACCUGAAGAAGAAGCACCGGCUAACUACGU
rnacentral:rRNA from 1 species